rnacentral:rRNA from 1 species
GGAAACGGGUCAAGAUUCCCGUACCGGUUGUGAAUGCGAUGGGGGGACGGAGAAGGGUAGCUCAGCGGCCUGUUGGAAUAGGUCGUUUAAGCGUGUAGGAGUGGUCUCCUGGCAAAUCCGGAGAUCUUAUCUGAGGCGUGAUGACGAGGGUCUACGGACCUGAAGUGAGUAAUCCCAAGCUUCCAGGAAAAGCCUCUAAGCUUCAGUUCACAACUGACCGUACCGCAAACCGACACAGGUGGGUAGGUAGAGAAUACCAAGGCGCUUGAGAGAACUCGGGUUAAGGAACUCGGCAA